AAGUCGUAACAAGGUUUCCGUAGGUGAACCUGCGGAAGGAUCAUUAACGAAUAUCUAUGGCGUUGGUUGUAGCUGGCUCCUAGGAGCAUUGUGCACGCCCGUCAUUCAUAUCAUCUUUCCACCUGUGAACCAUGUGUAGGCCUGGAUACCCCUCGCUUUGGCAACAAAGCGGAUGCAAGGAUUGCUGCGUCGACAAGGCCGGCUCUCUUUGAAUUUCCAGGUUCUAUGUCUUUUUACACACCCCAUUUGAAUGAUUUCGAAUGUAGUCAAUGGGCUUUCGUGCCUAUAAAAAACUAUACAACUUUCAGCAACGGAUCUCUUGGCUCUC
rnacentral:misc_RNA from 1 species